rnacentral:rRNA from 1 species
AACGAACGCUGGCGGCAGGCCUAACACAUGCAAGUCGAGCGAGGACUUCGGUUCUAGCGGCGGACGGGUGAGUAACGCGUGGGAAUGUGCCCUUCUCUACGGAAUAGCCCUGGGAAACUGGGAGUAAUACCGUAUACGCCCUUUUGGGGAAAGAUUUAUCGGAGAAGGAUCAGCCCGCGUUGGAUUAGGUAGUUGGUGGGGUAAUGGCCUACCAAGCCGACGAUCCAUAGCUGGUUUGAGAGGAUGAUCAGCCACACUGGGACUGAGACACGGCCCAGACUCCUACGGGAGGCAGCAGUGUGGAAUCUUAGACAAUGGGGGCAACCCUGAUCUAGCCAUGCCGCGUGAGUGAUGAAGGCCUUAGGGUUGUAAAGCUCUUUCAGCUGGGAAGAUAAUGACGGUACCAGCAGAAGAAGCCCCGGCUAACUCCGUG